AACGAACGCUGGCGGCAGGCCUAACACAUGCAAGUCGAGCGGAUGUAGCAAUACAUCAGCGGCGCACGGGUGAGUAACGCGUGGGAACCUGCCCUUUGGUACGGAACAACCCUGGGAAACUAGGGCUAAUACCGAAUACGCCUCGAGAGAGGGAAAGAUUUAUCGCCGAAGGAGGGGCCCGCGUCCGAUUAGCUAGUUGGUGGGUAAAGGCCUACCAAGGCUACGAUCGGUAGCCGGUCUGAGAGGACGAUCGGCCACACUGGGACUGAGACACGGCCCAGACUCCUACGGGAGGCAGCAGUGGGGAAUCUUGCGCAAUGGGCGAAAGCCUGACGCAGCGACGCCGCGUGAGGGAUGACGGCCU
rnacentral:rRNA from 1 species